AUUGAACGCUGGCGGCAGGCCUAACACAUGCAAGUCGAGCGGAUGAGGGAAGCUUGCUUCCCGAUUUAGCGGCGGACGGGUGAGUAAUGCCUAGGAAUCUGCCUAUUAGUGGGGGAUAACGUUCCGAAAGGAACGCUAAUACCGCAUACGUCCUACGGGAGAAAGUGGGGGAUCUUCGGACCUCACGCUAAUAGAUGAGCCUAGGUCGGAUUAGCUAGUUGGUGAGGUAACGGCUCACCAAGGCGACGAUCCGUAGCUGGUCUGAGAGGAUGAUCAGCCACAAUGGAACUGAGACACGGGCCAGACUCCAACGGGAGGCAGCAGUGGGGAAUAUUGGACAAUGUGCGAAAGCCUGAUCCAGCCAUGCCGCGUGUGUGAAUAAGGUCUUCGGAUUGUAAAGCACUUUAAGUUGGGAGGAAGAGUUGUAAGCUAAUAUCUUGCAGCUUUGACGUUACCAACAGAAUAAGCACCGGCUAACUCUGUGCCAGCCGCCGCAGUAAAAC
rnacentral:rRNA from 1 species